UUUCAAUUACAUGAGAGACCAAUUACAAAAAAUUACAUGAGAGACCGAAGCGAUUGGCGCAUUGCGCCCAAUGUUUAUUUUCCGUUUACAAUUUAUUAUUAUUAUUAUAGUAGAUGUCUGCAAUCUUCUUCUUCUUCCAUUUCACUCUGCGUUUUCCUCUACCGCUUCUCACUUUCUCUGAGUCUCUCUCUCUCUCUCUCUCUCUCUCUCUCUACCGUUUCUCUCUCUAGGGUUUAAAACCCAAACCUAGAGACGAUGCCGCUCUUCGUCUCCGACAAGGAGUACUCGCUCCUCCGAAACGACGCCGCAUUGUUGGCGGACAAGGCCGACGCUUUCAUACGAGACCUCUAUAAGGAGCUCGACACCGUCCGUGCUCAUGCCAAUGUGGCUUCCAUAACCGCCGAGCAGAAGUACCUCUCUCUUUCCUCCGACUUGUUAAAGCUCCAAUCUCACAAUUCGCAGCUCCAAAAUUCUCUCCGUCGCCGGCUUUCUGAGCUGGCGAACGUCCAAGAACAAAACAGUCGGAUUUAUGUGCAAUGCCUAAGCAGAAUUUCUUUUACUCUCUUUUAAUCCUUUUAGAAUUCAUCUUUUUUUUUUUCCCUACUAUGUUGUUGUUGUUGUUGUUGUUGUUGUUGUUGUUGUUGUUGUUGUGUUGUAGAUUAGGAAAGAUGGCGAGAUUGAGAGGUUGACGAAGGAGCUCUCUGAACUGCAUAAGUCCAAGAGGCAGUUAGUAGAGUUGGCACAGCAGAAAGAUUCGGAGAUUGUAAGUUCUUUUAGUGAUUUUAUCCUAUUUUGUUCCUCUUAAUUGCGCUACUGUAUACACAAAUGUCUCUCUAUCCGAUAGCUGACAAGUAAAUCUUGUUUCAGCACUUUGGACUUAGCAAAUUAGGAAUAACCAAAUUAGGAAGAAGAGCUUAGUCCUAAUUUGCAAAACUCAAUUAAUGUAGUUUCCAGGAAGGGAGGAAGAGGACACCAUGUGUUCUGCAAGUAAGAAAAUACCUGUUAUCAUGAUUAUUGAUAGUCUCCUACCUCCCUACAAAGACUUUUUGAGGCCGAGUACCAUUCCCAUCAGUGAUACGCUAUUGACAUUUCCUCUACUUGCUUAUCGUAGCAUUUUGGUUGCUUUGGCUUUUCAUGAUUACAGGAGGCCUCUACUUGCUUAUCGUUGCAUUUUGGUUGCUUUGGCUUUUCAUGAUUACAGGAGGCUGCGGAUCUGAAGUUGAAACCGGAAAAAUGUGAAGUGUGUUAAGCUUUAGGUUUUUGGGGUAUUUCUAUUAUCAUGCCUUGGUUCAACUUUAGUGGUUUGUGAUGAUGAAUUUUUACCCUGUUUUAAAAGGCAUACACAUUUUUUUGCUUAUAUUUACAUCAUUAGUUUUUCAUCGAGAUAUUUAAUUUCCUUUUCCUAAAAUUGUAGCAUUACAAUCAUUUAGUAUAUUUUUUCUUCACCUUGGUUUGAUUAAAUCAUGCAUAAAAUUCUCGAAGCAUUUAUUUUUCUAAAAUAUCUUUUGAUGCAUUGGUUGUUGUUUUGAAAAUGUGAGAGGGAAGGAGAUGGGAUGGGAACGCACAUUUCUAUGUUAAUAAUUUUAUAUUUCUUAUUUCAAGAAAUUUUGGAAGUUUGUAUGUUUCUAUUUUUAUUCCCUGUAAUUUAUUUUUUCAAUUUUAAUUUUGUUCUACUUUAAUUUUAAAAUUUUGUUUUGUUUGACUAUUUAUGUUUUGUUUAUGAUAAUUAUAAUUUCUCUAUUUUUAUUUAGUUCAUGUGUAUAUUUGAGAAUAACUUCUUAUGUUAUGGAUUAUUCAUAAGACUCGAAUUGGUCACAGGUCCAGUGUAGCUUGUCUUCAUUUAAGUAAUGAAAUAGCUAUUCCUUGGAUUUUAACAAUGCAUAGCUAUUCUUAUUCCUGGGAAUAGCAGUUGAACCAAAUAUUGGUGCGUCUAUUCAUAUUGAAAUAUAUUUAAUUCCUGUGCCUGUUUUGCAUACCAAAUGUUGUAUUAGAAUAUUUGUCUUUGACUCAAUAAACUUACCUUUAUUAUAUAAAAGAUAAAGCUGUUUUAGGAGGCUGUUUCAAUCCUUAUUAUUGUUUGUUAUGAAUUGGAUAGUAUCACAGCCGACCUGAAUAUCCAACUAUGUACUAAUUUGAUAGCAGAUUGAUGAACUCAUUUGAAACUACUGAUGUGGUUUUGGAUGAUCCUAUGCCUGUCCCCAAGAUUCCUAUUGGUGUUUCAGGAACUGCCUUAGCAGCCUCACUUCUGCGUGAUGGUUGGAGUGAAAAUCAGAAUCAAAUUUUGCUAAAGAAAGACUUAAGAGCUCAACAAAAGAAUUUGAAGAUCAGAGAAAUGAAACCAAUGAUGUUUUGGCAAGGAAUAUGGAAUAUUCCCAGUUAAUAGUUGACUACCAAAGAAAGCUGAAAGAAAGUUCUGAAUCUUUGCAUGCUGCUCAGGAGGUUUCCAGGAGGUUGAGUGUGGAGGUAUCUCUUUUAAAGCAUGAAAAGGAAAUUCCCUGCAGUUUGGCUGAGAAGGUUUAUUCCCUGCAGCAGGAGGCAAGAGCCGCAGAGAGUUAAAAACAGGAAGAGUAUGUGAAAGAAGUUGUUACCAUUACUUUUGGAAUUUGUAGGAAAUAAAAGAGAAGGAUGCUCAAAUAGAGGAAAUUAAGAGACUUCUUUCUGAGAAGCAGAAAACAGUAUGAAAACUGGAGCAAGAUCUUUCCAAUUGCAAAGCAGAACAUACUGAAAGGGAAAGGAGGAUAAAUGAUUUCAUUACAGGGAAAAGAUACGAAGCAGAAAUUUCUGUUGAACAGACCAUGAAGGAGAAAGACACUAGAAUUCAGGCUCUGGAGAAACACCUGGAGAGGAAGAAAGAUGAACUGAUGAUGGAAAGGAAAGGACAUCAGGCAGAAAAACAAAUGUAUCUGAAGAAAGAUAAAUUGCAUAACCAAUUUUUGCAGGAGAGCGAAAGGUUAAGCCUUGAACUGAAGAAUGUUAAGAAGGCUUCAGAGCUUCUAUUUGAUGAGCUUGAAAAGGUUAACAAGGACAAACAUAGCCUCCCAGAGAUAAAGGUGUAUCAGGAGAAGUUACAAAAGGCAUUACUAUCAGUUUUCAGCGAGUUUGGAGUUCUUGUUCGUACAGAUGCUACAUAGACUUAGCUGCUCCAUGUGGCUCUUACUGUGUCCUUGGUCCUCACAAGUUUGACUCCAAAGCGAGAAAUGAUAUGUUGAAAGUUGCAAAACCAGAUGAUCCGCCUGAGAUGAUGUAAGGACUUGUGGGUAAACCCACCACACAAUACCAAAACACAGCAAUUUUAUAUACCCACGACACAAUACCAAAACACAGCAAUUUUAGAUAGCAUAAAUUGUAUAUCAAUUUUAUAUUGUAUAUAUAUA